GGAGGUAGUGACGUGAAAUAACGAUGCGGGACUCUUCCGAGGCCUCGCAAUCGGAAUGAGUUAACUUUAAAUCCUUUCGACGAGGAUCGAUUGGAGGGCAAGUCUGGUGCCAGCAGCCGCGGUAAUUCCAGCUCCAAUAGCGUAUAUUAAAGUUGCUGCGGUUAAAAAGCUCGUAGUUGAAUCUCACGAUUCAACAGGAGGUAAGCGCCGUGGUGGUAGUAGUAAGUAGCAAUUACAGUAUUGCUACUACUACAAUUCACCUUCUCCUUCUUCUCGUUAGGGUAGAAGAAGGAGGAUGUUGAAGGCUCGAACAGGGUGUUAAUAAUACUGUACCAGUUAAUGUUCAUAAAGUGGUGGUAGUGGAGGCGGUCGUCGUUGUUGCUGCUGCAGCAGCAGCUGCUUCUACUGCUGUGGUAGUGGCAGAAAACGACUGACCGUGGCCGCUGCCGCUUCUACUACUUCGUUCAUCGUCUAUUCCCUAUUCGUUGCAUUGUUUCCUUUUACUACUGGUUCUCUUUCUUCUUUCCAUCCAACGGAAAAGAGAGGGUGAAAAAGAAAAUGCCACGGUGUCGUAAUCGUCCUCGUCGAUAACAAUCAUUAUCCGGCCGGCCAGCGCCAUUAGUAUCCAGCACCAGCAGCAGUAGUGGCGGCGGCAGCCCCCAACCCCAAAUGAGAAGGAGAUUUUGAUCUUAUUAUAAUAAUACUACGAACAUCUACCUCUUCCGCCGGGGCUGCUGCUGCUGCUUCUGCUGCUGCUGCUGCUGCUGGCUCUCGCGCGCUCGCGUUCGGUCGGCAACUUCACUUUGACAAAAUUAGAGUGCUCAGAGCGGGCAAGAUCUGAAGCCCGAAUGGAGGUGCAUAGAAUGAUCUAAGAUGACCUCGCGAUCUAAAC
rnacentral:rRNA from 1 species